UGCCCCCUUGCGGUCGGUCUGGAAGCACCGCCAUGGUCAGGUCACGGCGGGUGUCCUGCGGUUACAAACACGCUGUGAGCCGGACGCGCAUCGCUUACGCAGAGGGUGGAGGCCCAACUGUCCAGGUGAACUCGAUGAAGUUGGAAUCCCUGUGCAGAGUGACCGCUUGGGAAAUGUAGUCGUUGAAGAUUUGGUGAAUUUGUUGAACCAAUGGACCCUGUGGGAGGAACAAAAAAACAA